AGGUUCUGCGGAGUGAGAGAAAAGGUUUUCUCAAAAAUGUUGAUCAAAGCUAAGAGACUUAAGUCAGUUUUUUUUUUUGGAUACCUUGGGGAUGAUCUGUUUCUGUUUAGUUCCUUUGUUUUUCCUGCGGAAAAGGUCAACAGAAGAUUUAAGGACGAGAGCAAGAGGUGCGGAGGGGGAGUGACUGGAGUCAGUCUAUUUUCCUGAGCUGACUGCACUGAGUUUGGCGAGCUGCGACACCACCCAGUCUGUCUGCAGACUCACUGGAGGACGUGUCGAGGGAAGCGGAGACGACCCCAGGACUGCAGAAGCUUGCGGGGGUCCUCAGCAUCCAGCUGCAAGUUCUUAAUGGAGCUGAUCAUCUGCGCAUGCAUGUCUCUGAUCACACGACACACACAAAGAUACACAGUGUGGACGAGGGGAAAUGGGAAA